CCUACGGGACGCAGCAGUGGGGAAUAUUGCACAAUGGGCGCAAGCCUGAUGCAGCCAUGCCGCGUGUAUGAAGAAGGCCUUCGGGUUGUAAAGUACUUUCAGCGGGGAGGAAGGUGUUGUGGUUAAUAACCACAGCAAUUGACGUUACCCGCAGAAGAAGCACCGGCUAACUCCGCGCCAGCAGCCGCGGUAAUACGGAGGGUGCAAGCGUUAAUCGGAAUUACUGGGCGUAAAGCGCACGCAGGCGGUCUGUCAAGUCGGAUGUGAAAUCCCCGGGCUCAACCUGGGAACUGCAUUCGAAACUGGCAAGCUUGAGUCUCGUAGAGGGGGGUAGAAUUCCAGGUGUAGCGGUGAAAUGCGUAGAGAUCUGGAGGAAUACCGGUGGCGAAGGCGGCCCCCUGGACGAAGACUGACGCUCAGGUGCGAAAGCGUGGGGAGCAAACAGGAUUAGAUACCCGGGUAGUC
rnacentral:rRNA from 1 species